rnacentral:lncRNA from 10 species
GAAAAACCUCUAGCAGCUUCUUAAGGUAGAGAGGGGACCAGAAAAGGGGUGGAUGUGGGUGGCUGAGGGAAAGCAGAUUGGAGAAGUGGUGGACAACUGAAAGAGGAAAAAGUUGGAAGACCAAAGUGGAAGCGUGGGAAUGGAGAGAAGAACUGGGAAGGAAGGAGGCUCUGUAAAUCCAGUGAAUGUGGAUCCCAAUACUGAGGCCACCUGCUGUCAUCCUAGGCUGUUCCCCCUCCCACCCUCUCCCGAUAUUUGGUGGUCUGAGGAUAGCUAGAGGUAGAUGGGUUAGAGGCAGUGUGAGAAUGCAGUUGGAGGCCUCAGUCCUCCCCGGGACUGCUCCGUAAGGCCUCGUGGUGGAAGGGCAUUGAAUGGCCCGGCCUCGUCGUUAACCUGGCCAGUGGACUAGGCUGUUAUCAGCUUGCUGUUUCCAUCUGGAAGUGAGCAGGUACUGCUGGCGGCGGAUUUAUGAGUAACCAAUGUAUUAGGAGUCAGAAUACUUAGGUUUUAGUCCCAACUCUUCCACUAGCCGUCCAGGCAAGUAAUUUAACUUCUUCAUUACUUAUAAAACAAGGAUAAUAUUUAUAAUGACAUUUAUAAUGACUACUUCAUAGGGUUAAGUUUGUGAGCCUGUAUGUGAAAAAACUGAAAGCUGCAAGCUCUAUACAACUGUAAGGUGUCAUUCCUUGUACAAUAGUUUGAACUCGUUUUAAUGGCCCUGUGAAACUCUACUGCGUGGCUUGAUAUUACAGUUCUUGGGGUUUUUGUUUGGCCGGUAGUCCCUGUAGUUUCUCUCCCUGGACUGUGAAUUCUUUGAGAGCACUGGUUGUGACUUACUCAUGUUUGUAUUUCCCACUACUCUUUAUGUGAAGGAGGGGCUCAGUAUUGCUGCUGAACUUUGUCACAUGAAGGUUGAAACUUUUCAUUUAUGUCACUUGGUUUGGUGCUACACAUAGAUCAAAGGCUUUGGAUAGCAUGGAUAUCAGCGACAGUUUGAAGAAAGAAAUAUGGAUGUGAUCAGAGGAGUUCAGGGAGACAUACAUAAAAAUGUUAAUCACGGUU